CCUACUGGGGACAUCAUUGAGGCAUCUUGGUCAAUGGGCGGAAGCCUGAACCAGCCAAGUAGCGUGCAGUCUUCCUUCCCUCCUUUUUUUCCCCUUCUUUUCUCCUUUCCUCCCGCGCCUUACUGUUAGGGCUUUGCAUGUACCGUAUGAAUAAGGACCGGCUAAUUCCGUGCCAGCAUCCGCGGUAAUACGUAAGGUCCGGGCGUUAUCCGGAUUUAUUGGGUUUAAAGGGAGCGUAGGCCGCAUGUCAAGCGUGCUGUGAAAUGUCCGGGCUCAACCCGGGCCUUGCAGCGCGAACUGGCGUGCUUGAGUCCGCGGAAAGCAGGCGGAAUUCGUCGUGUAGCGGUGAAAUGCUUAGAUAUGACGAAGAACCCCGAUUGCGAAGGCAGCUUGCUGCAGCGGAACUGACGCUGAUGCUCGAAAGCGAGGGUAUCGAACAGGAUUAGAGAAAAGAGUAGUC
rnacentral:rRNA from 1 species